UACGGAGGGUGCAAGCGUUAUCCGGAUUUAUUGGGUUUAAAGGGUCCGUAGGCGACUUAUAAGUCAGUGGUGAAAUCCUGCAGCUCAACUGUAGAACUGCCAUUGAUACUGUAAGUCUUGAAUUCGGUUGAAGUGGGCGGAAUAUGGCAUGUAGCGGUGAAAUGCUUAGAUAUGCCAUAGAACACCGAUUGCGUAGGCAGCUCACUAAGCCUGGAUUGACGCUGAGGGACGAAAGCGUGGGUAGCGAACAGG
rnacentral:rRNA from 1 species